AUCAAUGGAAGCGCCGAAUUGCAGCGAGCAUCGGAUCCCAAGACACAAUCGUCGCACUCCGUUGCGUGAAGCGGAAUUGGUUGCGUGCUUCCGUCGAUGCGCCGCGACACGCUGCACAAUUUUGCAGACCGUAUUUCCUUUCCUGCGCCUUUAGCGGCUUAUACAAUCACGUGUUUAAGGUGUUCGCUUUGAUUGAGCUGUAUCAGGCUAUACGCAUGAUCGAACUCGGCUUUUUGUUUUCAGCGUUCAAGUUGAAUCGGCUUUGAGAAUAUUCAGCAAUGCAUCCCGCGAGAAGAGCUGCGGAUGGAUUGGUUAGGGCAAGACUCUUGGGCAGGUGGUCAUGGCCACUAAGUUUUGAUUGCUCGAUAAACAGGGCUGCGCAGCGGGAUGCAUUGGUGUCUCAUCGUCGACUGUGUACGAAUCGAGCCCGCUGCCUAAACAAGGAGUAUGCUUCCGUGAACGAAGGAUUCUUUUGGACCCCUGAAGCAGAGAUAGGUUCUUUGCUUAAAAGGCAUGUAAAGCAUCAAAUCAGGAGAUUUGCAACCUCUACAAAAGUCAACCGGAACAGCCGCUUUGACAGUCUCAAAACGAAUGAUAUGGAACACUUUAAGAGUAUAGUUGGUGCGAAAGGCGUUAUAGUGGACAAAGACGAAUUAGUUGCAGCAAAUACCGAUUGGAUGCACAAAUAUCAAGGUCAUAGCCAGAUACUCCUUCGACCCCAGACUACUCAACAGGUUUCGGAGAUCAUUACUUAUUGCAAUUCCAGGAAUUUGGCAGUAGUCCCACAAGGAGGUAAUACUGGAUUGGUCGGAGGCAGUGUUCCAGUUUUUGAUGAGGUGAUAGUGAACCUUGGAGCGAUGAAUAAGAUUAUUGAAUUUGAUGAGGUUAGUGGAAUCUUGGUUUGUGAAGCGGGUUGCAUUCUGGAGAACCUUGAUAACUUUAUUGGAGGCAAAGGCUUCACAAUGCCCUUGGACUUGGGUGCUAAGGGGAGCUGUCAAAUUGGGGGCAACGUAUCCACCAACGCAGGUGGCUUACGACUGUUGCGAUAUGGAUCUCUUCAUGGAAAUGUUCUUGGGCUUGAGGUUGUUCUGGCAGACGGUGAGGUGGUGAACAUGUUAGGGACAUUGGUAAAAGACAACACUGGUUAUGAUAUGAAGCAACUCUUUAUAGGGAGUGAAGGAACUUUGGGAGUGGUGACUAAAGUGUCGUUGUUGGUGCCUGCGAAGCUUGGGUCGGUCAACACAGCAUUCUUUGCAUGUGAGGACUAUACGAGCUGUCAGAACGUGUUGAAGGAGGCAAAGCGGCAAUUGGGUGAAAUCCUAUCAGCUUUCGAAUUCAUAGAUCGUCCUGCCCUUGACAUGGCUCUGACCCAUUUGCCUGGAACAAGAGAUCCUUUGCCACAAUCUGGGAAAAACUUUUAUCUUUUGAUAGAGACAACAGGCAGUAAUGAAACCCAUGACAAGGAGAAGCUGGAUGCAUUUCUAGAGAGCACCAUGGAGAAGGGUUUCGUUGCGGAUGGCGUUGUUGCGCAAGACAGCACUCAGGCAGCCUCUUUCUGGCAAAUAAGAGAGGGAAUAUCAGAAGCACUUGGAAAGGCUGGUGCUGUGUAUAAAUACGACUUCUCACUAUCUCCAGAACACUUUUACAAGAUUGUAGAAGAUCUUCGAGACCGACUUGUAACAAAUUUUCUCGCUCACCAGGAUCUGAUGCGGUGGUGGUCGGGUAUGGCCACUUGGGAGAUGGCAAUGUGCACUUAAAUGUUUCAGCUCGCGAAUACAAAGACGAGCUACUGGAGAAAGUUGAACCAUAUGUAUUUGAAUGGGUCGCCAAACACAAGGGUAGCGUGAGUGCGGAACAUGGACUGGGUUUGAUGAAGCCUCAUGCGCUUCACUACAGCAAGUCGGCUGAAGCUAUAGCGCUUAUGGAGAGGUUCAAGGCUCUCCUAGAUCCUAAAGGCAUCUUGAAUCCGUAUAAAGUGCUUCCCGGCACUUCAAAAACAGUCUCUACUCCUGCAUCAGCUCUUAAUGCUGAAUCGGCGGUCGUCGUCUGAGGUGGAAUUUGGAGUUUACAAGCAUCUCUUGUUUCCAAUCGUUGAUGUUCGCUGAACUCGAGGGCUUUAAGUGUGUUUAUCGCUAUAUCGUUUAGACAUUCACUAGGAUGCGACUCAAACUUGACCGCAGGGAACAAUGGCUGAAUGUCUUCGGGGAUUUCAUGUAAGCUCAGUUCUGAUUCCGUGCUCAAAUGCAUCAAUAUUUGUGGGAUCGACCUUCAUUAGAUAAAAUCUUGACAUGUCUGCAACAGACUCCUCUUUACGUAUCCUCUGUAGCGUUUCACUGGAUAUUGCAUCUGUAGGUGUACAUGAACAUAUGCCUUCAGACGGAGGCUGAAUAUAUCAUCUAUGAUACAACAGCUUGUUUACGUUAUAUGUUAGUAGUCUGUUUGAUAUACACUGAUUAAUAAGAUGUAAUUUAGCUUCUCAAAAACAUGCUGGGGCUGCUUGACGCAUUUGAUUGACCAUCUCCAACUCCAAAUAAAUUGGCCAGGUUUUACA